UACGUAGGGUGCAAGCGUUGUCCGGAAUUAUUGGGCGUAAAGAGCUCGUAGGCGGUCUGUCGCGUCGGAUGUGAAAACCCAGGGCUCAACCCUGGGCCUGCAUUCGAUACGGGCAGACUAGAGUUCGGUAGGGGAGACUGGAAUUCCUGGUGUAGCGGUGAAAUGCGCAGAUAUCAGGAGGAACACCCGUGGCGAAGGCGGCUCUCUGGGACGGUACUGACGCUGAGACGCGAAAGCGUGGGGAGCGAACAGG
rnacentral:rRNA from 1 species